rnacentral:rRNA from 1 species
UGCCAGCCGCCGCGGUAAUACGGAAGGUGCAAGCGUUAUCCGGAAUCACUGGGUUUAAAGGGUGCGUAGGCUGUUUAAUAAGUCAGAGGUGAAAUAUGCGGGCUUAACCUGCAAACUGCCUUUGAAACUGUUAGACUUGAAAUAGGUUGAGGUUAGCGGAAUGUGACAUGUAGCGGUGAAAUGCAUAGAUAUGUCAUAGAACACCAAUUGCGAAGGCAGCUGACUAGACCUUAUUUGACGCUGAGGCACGAAAGCGUGGGGAGCGAACAGGAUUAGAUA